GACGAACGCUGGCGGCGUGCUUAACACAUGCAAGUCGAACGGAAAGGCCCUGCUUUUGUGGGGUGCUCGAGUGGCGAACGGGUGAGUAACACGUGAGUAACCUGCCCUUGACUUUGGGAUAACUUCAGGAAACUGGGGCUAAUACCGGAUAGGAGCUCCUGCUGCAUGGUGGGGGUUGGAAAGUUUCGGCGGUUGGGGAUGGACUCGCGGCUUAUCAGCUUGUUGGUGGGGUAGUGGCUUACCAAGGCUUUGACGGGUAGCCGGCCUGAGAGGGUGACCGGCCACAUAGGGACUGAGAGACGGCCCAGACUCCUACGGGAGGCAGAAGUGGGGAAUAUUGCACAAUGGGCGGAAGCCUGAUGCAGAAACGCCGCGUGCGGGAUGACGGCCUUCGGGUUGUAAACCGCGUUCGCCUGUGACGAAGCGUGAGUGACGGUAAUGGGUAAAGAAGCACCGGCUAACUACGUG
rnacentral:rRNA from 1 species